rnacentral:rRNA from 1 species
CAUUAGCUAGUUGGUAAGGUAACGGCUUACCAAGGCAACGAUGCAUAGCCGAGUUGAGAGACUGAUCGGCCACAUUGGGACUGAGACACGGCCCAAACUCCUACGGGAGGCAGCAGUAGGGAAUCUUCCACAAUGGACGCAAGUCUGAUGGAGCAACGCCGCGUGAGUGAAGAAGGUUUUCGGAUCGUAAAGCUCUGUUGUUGGUGAAGAAAGAUAGUGAGAGUAACUGCUCAUUAUUUGCCGGUAAUCAAUCAGAAAGUCACGGCUAACUACGUGCCAGCAGCCGCGGUAAUACGGAGGAUCCGAGCGUUAUCCGGAUUUAUUGGGUUUAAAGGGUGCGCAGGCGGGAUGUUAAGUCGGCGGUGAAAUUUUGCAGCUCAACUGUAAAAGUGCCUUCGAUACUGGCUUUCUUGAGUGUGGAUGAAGUAGGCGGAAUUUGUGGUGUAGCGGUGAAAUGCAUAGAUAUCACGAGGAACUCCUAUUGCGCAGGCAGCUUACUAAACUACUACUGACGCUCAUGCACGAAGGCGUGGGGAUCAAACAGGAUUAGAUACCCUGGUAGUCCACGCAGUAAACGAUGAUUACUCGCUGUUUGCGAUACACUGUAAGCGGCCAAGCGAAAGCGUUAAGUAAUCCACCUGGGGAGUACGUUCGCAAGAAUGAAACUCAAAGGAAUUGACGGGGGCCCGCACAAGCGGAGGAACAUGUGGUUUAAUUCGAUGAUACGCGAGGAACCUUACCCGGGCUUGAAAUGCGGCGGACCGGCAGAGAGAUCUGCCUUCCCUUCGGGGCCGCCGUGUAGGUGCUGCAUGGUUGUCGUCAGCUCGUGCCGUGAGGUGUCGGCUUAAGUGCCAUAACGAGCGCAACCCUCAUCAUUAGUUACUAACAGGUCAUGCUGAGGACUCUAGUGAGACUGCCAUCGUAAGAUGCGAGGAAGGUGGGGAUGACGUCAAAUCAGCACGGCCCUUACGUCCGGGGCGACACACGUGUUACAAUGGGUGGUACAAAGGGCAGCUACCUGGCGACAGGAUGCUAAUCUCCAAAACCACUCUCAGUUCGGAUCGGAGUCUGCAACUCGACUCCGUGAAGCUGGAUUCGCUAGUAAUCGCGCAUCAGCCACGGCGCGGUGAAUACGUUCCCGGGCCUUGUACACACCGCCCGUCAAGCCAUGGAAGCCGGGGGUACCUGAAGUCCGUAACCGUCAAGGAG